rnacentral:tRNA from 1 species
GUCUUGGUGGCUUUGUGGUAAAGGCCUUGCCUCUGAUGUAAGUGGUUGCUGGUUUGAAUCUGGCCUGACU